AACACGGAAACAGAGAGUUGCUUGGUGGAGGGAUGAGACACUGUUCAGAUAGUGACCCAUGAUGGACACCAUUUCGAGGGAGAAGAUAAUCGUUAAUUUUCUAGAUUUAUAGCGCGUGAAGCUGACGUUCAUGCGGCGUAAUAUAAGUCCACGAUAUAAAGCCGCGUGUUCGUCACCUGACAUGGACAAAGAUGUUACAGUCUAUGAGACCAUGUCCAACCAUGCCUCGUCCAGCUUGGGCAUGAUAAACAGGCGACACACCCAGGGAGAGAGAGUGGGAGAGAAGGUAACCACAGCUUGACACAAUCCAGCAAGGAGACUCCACCCGCAUACCUCUUUACGAUCCUGGAGACACUCCAGCACAGCCAGGUUGUUGGUCCAGGUGUGCUUGGGACACAGGCGGGACAAGUCCUCCCGGCAGGCCUCCUCUUCGGCCAGCUUCCAGCCGGUCGUCCUUCGAGGCUGGGAGGCCGCAGCGACAGGGACAUCCCUCGGCGCUGCUUUCAUUCCGGGAGGGUUGGGUGGGUCCACGGGGACGUUAGCCAUAGCAUUAUUUUGUGUUUUAAAACCUCGAACGUUGCAAAA